rnacentral:rRNA from 1 species
UACGAGUGCCCCAAGCGUUAUCCGGAAUCAUUGGGCGUAAAGGGUGUGUAGGCGGUCUCUUUAGUCUCCUGUUAAAACCUCGGGCUCAACCCGAGAUCUGCAGGGGAAACGGAGAGACUCGAGGGUGCGAGAGGUGAAUGGAACUCAUGGAGUAGGGGUGAAAUCCGUUGAUAUCAUGGGGAACACCAAAAGCGAAGGCAAUUCACUGGCGCACUUCUGACGCUGAAACACGAAAGCGUGGGUAGCGAACGGG